GGCUCGUCUGCUCUGUUUGCAGCCUCGUUCUCUGGCUUACAUCGAUAAGGAGAGAGAUUUAUGAAUGAAUGACUCUACACCGUCUGCAUUUAACUGAUCAGACGGGGAACAUGAAAGGACUAUACCCCUUGGUAUAUACGGCUCCCAGAACAGAUUUUGUUUCUGCCCGAUUAUUACAUUUUAUGUCUGGAAACUAUACCUUCUAUGGCACAGUGCACUUCUAAAUGGAUACAAGAGAGUGGAUUACUGAGUUUACCAAAGGGAAGGGGCUUGAGAAAAAGUUAGACUUUCUGAAAGUCACAGAAACUGGCCCAGUUUUCUGUCUGGUCCAACUCUUAGGGCCACAAGGUAGGAAUAUGUAGCAGUUUCCAGAGAGCUUAACUUUCUUCCUAUUAAUUUUUUUUUAAUGAAUUCAUAUUUAUUUCAGGUGAGUGUCAAGAAAAGCUAAUAUGAUUUAAUCUUAGCCUGGAGUAAACAUUCUUUACUUUUUCAGAUAGAGAUUUUAUUCAAAUUUUUCUAAGUGGUAAUCCAUUGUAGAUAAGCUGUUUCUCACGUAUUAUGUGUAUUAUAUGUUAUGAACAGUUUUGAUGUGGGGACUCCUUUCAUUUUUUACUAACAGAUGAGAGAGUGUUUCACAUGCAGACUACAUUGUUACAAUACAGAUCAACAGUCAGAAAGCAAAAAGCAUGCUGGUCUAAAACAGGCAAGUU
rnacentral:lncRNA from 1 species